rfam:TPA: Bos taurus chromosome 14, whole genome shotgun sequence.
UCCCUGAUAGCUUAAUUGGUAAAGAAUCUGCCUGCAAUGCAAGAGACCUUGGUUUGAUUCCUGGGUUGGGAA